rnacentral:rRNA from 1 species
AUUGAACGCUGGCGGUAGGCCUAACACAUGCAAGUCGAACGGCAGCACAGUAAUAGCUUGCUCUUACGGGUGGCGAGUGGCGGACGGGUGAGGAAUACAUCGGAAUCUACUUUUUCGUGGGGGAUAACGUAGGGAAACUUACGCUAAUACCGCAUACGACCUACGGGUGAAAGCAGGGGAUCUUCGGACCUUGCGCGAUUGAAUGAGCCGAUGUCGGAUUAGCUAGUUGGCGGGGUAAAGGCCCACCAAGGCGACGAUCCGUAGCUGGUCUGAGAGGAUGAUCAGUCACACUGGAACUGAGACACGGUCCAGACUCCUACGGGAGGCAGCAGUGGGGAAUAUUGGACAAUGGGCGAAAGCCUGAUCCAGCCAUACCGCGUGGGUGAAGAAGGCCUUCGGGUUGUAAAGCCCUUUUGUUGGGAAAGAAAAGCAGCAGGUUAAUACCCCGCUGUUCUGACGGUACCCAAAGAAUAAGCACCGGCUAACUUCGUG